GACGAACGCUGGCGGCGCGCUUAACACAUGCAAGUCGAGCGAAGCGGCGGACGGGUGAGUAACACGUGAGUAACCUGCCUUAGACAUUGGGAUAGCCUCGGGAAACCCGGAUUAAUACCAAAUGGUCUAAGAUGGACUCGCGUCCCAUUCGCGAGUUGGUGAGGUAACGGCCCACCAAGGCGACGAUGGGUAGCCGGCGUGAGAGGGGGAACGGCGACAUUGGAACUGAGAAACGGUCCAAACUCUACGGAAGGGAGCAGUGGGGAAUAUUGCACAAGGGAGGGAACUGUGAUGGAGCGACGACGGGAGAACGAAGAAGGCUUUCGAGUCGUAAAGUUCUUUUAUAUGGGAAGCGGUACCAUAAGAAAAAGCCCCGGCUAACUACGUGCCAGCAGCCGCGGUAAUAC
rnacentral:rRNA from 1 species